ensembl:lncRNA
AUGGAGAGGCAGCAGGUGCUCCUCAAAGCACUGCAAGUUUCAUCCACAAAGCCUGUUGUGUCUCAAUCAGAAGUUGCUCAGAGAGAGAUGGAGAGCUGUUUGACCCAAGAGUACACACCUGAUAGUCUGCCCUUACUGCUGCAUCAGGUUGCUUAUGAGCUGUUUUAUUGUGUUCACACUAUAAACUUGUGUGAAAACAUUUCUGAUCAUUUUGACUCCAUUCUCAACAGUUUUACACAGAUCAAACUUAUAAACUGGCACGGUGCAAAUACCAGCUGAUGCUGAGAUGGAGGAGAUUCGGCCACCAUUCCACCGUCCUGGAGAAACUAUAUCCUCAAUAUAAAGUAUCUAAAUUCUGCAUCUUAGAAUAUUUUCAUGCAUUCAUAGGCAAAAUUAAUCAAUUAAUCGUGCCCCUAUUGCUCUGCUUAGAAACAGAUCACACAUUUGACCAAUGAGUUUGAGGAUUCUGUGCAUCGGGCACGUCGUCUUGCUGUGUCCAGAGAGAAGGUGCUGGCGGGUGUGGAGAGUCCAGUCAGUGUGGUCACACAGGAAGACGUCAUCAUUUACCUACAGUGGCUCAUUUGCCAUUUGCACUCUGUCAAAAGCAUCCACAACUUUCUGCAUGUGAGAAAACAUAAGAAUCUAACCAAAUAUUCAAGACUGGAGGAGAACAAAUGUAAAAGUUUAAGAUUUCUGAAUUCUUUCAUUUUAAAUUCUGGUAGGGAGGACAUUUCUCAAUUAACAACUAAUGAUGAUUAUAAGAACAAGUUGGUUAAAAAAAUUUUUUAUCAUAUGUUGGUUGUAGGUUCUUCAUUAUCUCCCUUCUACUCAGUGGAAUGAGGAUCAGAUGUCCAGUACUGUAGAUUUGACAUCUCCUGCAUAUUUUGAUGGUAAAGAACCCAUUUUUUAAUGCUGUAUUUUAGCUGAAAUCAGGAUUAUUAUUGUUAAAAUGAUAGUUCACCCAGAAAUGAAAAUUCCGUCAUUAAUUACUCAC